rnacentral:rRNA from 1 species
GAUUAACGCUGGCGGCGUGCAUAAUACAUGCAAGUCGAACGAAGAAAUUAAAAUGAUUUCUUUGGAAUGAUAUUAAGUGGAUUAGUAGCGGCAGGGUGAGUAACGCGCGAGUAACCUGCCUUACACAAGGGGAUCGCGGGUGGAAACGGGGUAUAAUACACAAUGAUGUUUUUCUAUAGCAUGAGAUAUUAAUCAUAGUGUUAGUGGAGUAAGAGGGACUUGAGUCUGAUUAGCUAGAUGGUGAGGUAAACGCCCACCAAGGCACCGAGCAGAAGCCGGCUUGGGAGAGCGGACCGCCACAUUGCGACUGGGACACGUCCCGGACUCCUCCGAGAGGCAGCAGUGGGGAAUGAGGCACAAUGCGUGAGUCACUGAGGCAGCGACACCGCGUGAUUUAGAAAGCCGUCGAGUUGUAAUAUGCUAGUAACUAUGAAGAUCUUGACGGUACUAAAUGAGAAAGGCCCGGCUAAUUACGUG